CUUGUACGUGUUUGGGCCCUAAGUAAGACAUUAUGGACGGCCCUGCUGGACUGGAGUUAACGAUCGGUGGAUGUUAUCCCUGGUCGUACUCCGUGUUCGAUUAAGUGAUUUGAUAAUGUUGGUCUCUAAAAGGCUUAUUUAACUGACUGUAUAGUGAGCCUGUAACCUCGGACCCAGAGACUACUUGGCAGCUCCGGCAGAGACAUGCUCAUAUGGAUCUCGUAUUAAAGUGGGGUCUAGUUACAAUGGGGUCAUUCCAGUGCGGCAUCAGGCAGCGUUACCUGACGUGAAUGAGCUAUUUAUGGACAGGAUAGUGUGACAGUGCUUGGUACCCCACUGCCUCCGGUAAGCACUUUGCGGCCCAGCAAGUCAUUG